AACCGUUCAGUUUGGUCCUUGGAGGAUGCCGUACUUCCAUGUGAGUUUACGGCGGUCUGCAGUGAGCUGGAUGAGGAAGGUAUGAGGUGCAGUAAUGGAGAGUUUCAAGACCCGGUUUGAUUUCUCCAACCCUCUUAUCCAAGCCCAGACGGUGAGAAAUCUUGUUGCUGCUGUGCUGAAGGAAAAAGGCUCAAAUGGGCAAAUCACUCAGUCCUCCACCCAGGGCCCAGCACUGGAGGCUCUCUGGCAGCAGUGCUGCAGUGACUGUGCUCUGGUGCGUUCAACAUGCUGUGAUGCUGUGGUGCUUCUAGUAGAUCAGGGCCAUGCAGACCUGCAGUUCAUUCUCAACAGUGUCCUCAAUCUCCUGCCUUCUGCCAGAAAUGUUCAGGGGCUUAUAAAGGUCAUUGGGAGACUGCUGCAGAUUCAAGCUGACCAGAGACAGGGGGACACAAACUUCACUUGUCCUUAUUCUAUCAGGAGCUGUCCACACCCAUACAUCACAGUGCUUGAAAACCGAGCAGACUGCUGGCCUGUGCUGCUGCUGGAGAUCCAUGACUUCAUCUGUCAGGCUGCCGACAAGAAUAAAGCAUCUUACAUCAGCAUGCUGGUUCCCUUCCUCCGGUAUCUGUACUGUGAGCCUCAGAGGCAGUCCCAGCACGCACUGCUCCGACAGAGCCUGCUCAGGGUGCUGCUGCCCAUAAAGCCAGGGCCUGGAUGGAUGCCCCAGAGCAAGGACCACAAGAACACUGCAGGGGUGUCUGACAGCCUGCUGCUCUGCCUUUGUCAGCUGGUUUCAUAUUUACAGGUGGACAGUGUGGAGGCAGUGUUGGAAUUGUGUGGAUUUGUGGACAGUCUGCUUCAAGGUCUUAUGGACGCGCCUGGAGAGCUCUGGGCAACGGAGAGAGCCAGACUACUGGUGCAGCUGCUGUGUGCAUGUCACCAAUGCUUGAAGUUAAAUGGAGACUGCAGACCGCUUCUCAGCCUAAUACAGCAACUCCUCCCUGCAUGCAAGGUGUGGCCAGUGGAUGAGCUGAUGAUGGGUGUGGCCUUGCUUCUGUGUGAGGCUCCUCCAGAUCAGCAGAACAGCCUAUUUAGGCUGGCUCUGUGUUUAUCUCCAGAAAAAGCUGAGCUGUCUCAUUGGCUGAGUCCAGUCCUGGUUCUUCCUGUGCUCCAGCUGCUCUCCUGCUCUCAGCUCACUGAGCCUCUGGCUGACCCAGUAACGCACAGCUUAAACCAGAGUCUUGCCCACAGCUUGUUACGCAGCAUCAACAAACCCACAAAAAAGGCCCGGCAGCCUGGUCCAACGCUGACCCUCCCUCUCAGCUCCUGGUAUGCUGAGCUCAGCGUGGCUUUGUCCAUAUUGGACAAAGUUUCCCAUGAUCCUUGUGCGGCCACUGAUUGGCUGCUUGCGGUUACCUCUGCCCUAACGUCCAGCCAGCGCCUGUCCUCUUCCCUUGCUCUCAUUGUGACUUACCUCCUUAUCACGGCUCAAGAGGAUAUCUGCCUGCUGGCUUUGAAAGCAACCCAGGCCAUUGCUGCUGCCGAUCCCUGCCAGGUCCCCUCUCUCAUCUCUGUCCUGUUGUUCAAACUGUCGAAGGAAACAAAUCCAGAUUUGAUCCAUUCUGUGCUUAACUGCCUGCCAAACCUUGGCACCCAUAAGCUUUGUGUCCCCAUGGUGCUACAGACUCUCCACAUGCUGGCUAGUUCACCCAAGCUGAAAGCUGUUGCAAUGCGCCUGAUGACUGCUCUGUGGAAAAAGCAGGACCGAGUCUACCCAGAACUGCAGCAUCUUCUGGGUCAGCAGGACAACAGACUGGUGGUUGGGAAGGACACUCAGUGGGAGCAGAUGGUGGCCAGGGCCGCCUGCCUCAGGGAUAUCUGCAGAGAGAGGCCUUACCAGCAUGGAGGUGACAUGCUAGCUGCCAUCUCACUCACUCUGAAGCAGUGCAACAGACCAGACCUGGCAACCCCUGCUGCUCUCUCCCUGCAAGGCUUACAGGAGCUGUGCAAAGCAGAGGUAGUGGACAUCAUCUCUACAUGGAAAAGUCUUGGAGCUGAGCUGAAGUGUGACUCCCGUCCACUGAUGGUUAAAGCCAUAGCUGAGCUCCUGUCAUUGGUUCCACAGCUCACUGUAAAGUCAGAGGAGUAUGAGAAACUAAAAGAGGAGGUGGUUAGCUUUCUCUGGAGUUAUGCUGCCAGCCAGGAUUUUGAGGUAUCCAGCUGUGGCUAUAAAGCUCUGGCAGCUUUUCCUGAAACAGACCACACCAUCCUGCACCUCCCUGAGGCAGCCAGACCUGCUGUGAAGGUUUCUGAAAGUGAAGAUGACGCUAAGGGAGGAGAGGAAGAAGAGAAAGAUCUCUCUGUCCCUGGACAAUCCUACAUGAAACUACUGGCUCUCACCUCCCAUUCUGCUCUGCCAGCCUUUGAGACCUUCCUGACAUCGCUGGUGAAGCAUGAGAUGAGCCAGAUGCCACGAGGAGUGUAUUUUUCAGCCCUGAGAGGGGGUAGCCUGCGUUCAGACCAAGGAAAAACUGUAGCAGGGAUUCCAGCAUUCAUGCUCAAGACCUAUGAGAAAAACAAGCAGCCUGGACUGAAGCCCGGACUAGCAGCUGGAUUGCUGCUCUGCUACGAGCUCCCUGUGCAGACGGACCGCAGCGGGAAGCCCAUUGACCGCUUCCUGGUCACCAGGAGCCGCAGCUACCAGCAGACCCUGACCGCCCUCAUUCACGAAGUGAACAUCCAGCUGUCAGAGUGGCACCGUGCUCUGCUGCUGCCUCAGGCCUGGAGGGGGUUCAUGGGCCGGGCGUUCAGUGCCCUUCUUCAGGGCCGCCGCGCUGAUCUGGAAAUGCAGCAGAAACAAGUCAAAGGGGAUCCACGGCAGCUGCAAUAUGAACAGCACUGCGCCUGGUUGUGGGCCAGAGAUCAGCUGACAGACGUCAUCAAAACUGCUACAAAGGACAGUCCUGUUGUACAGGGCAACUCUAUCUUGGCCCUGAGUGGACUGGCUGCUGUCGUCACUAAGUAUGAGAGCAACCUUCCCACUGACAGCAAUGAUGGCAUGGGGGCUGGCCCAGAGUUUGUGCCUACUGCCUGCUGGAUGUGCAUGGUCUUGGAGACACUGCUCAGCAUCAUCAGCAGCAGCUACAAAGCUAAAGGGCAGUUGUUUCCAUGGUUCUUGCACCGGUCGUACUCUGGGGAAAACACGGCCAGCGCCAUCGCCCGCUCCUGUGCCAGCCUCGCUCUGUCCCUGCUCGUCCCAGUUCUGGUGAUGUGGCAGAAGGACGCUCUGGUCCAGGUCCUCUCAGCUCUGCAGGCCGGCUUGCCAGACGCCCCCUCUGCAGAUGACUCCCAGGCUGUCCAGUUCCACUCGGGCCUGGCAAUGGGCAUGGUUCUCUCCAGCCUGCACCACCAGAGCCUCAACAAUGUCUCUGCCCAGGAGGACAUGGAUGUCCUGUCAAAGUCUCUGGACGCUCUGGAAGGUUGCUGCUUCAACCCCAACCUGGAAUACAACACUGGCUGCGUGCUGGGCCUGGGCCUGGUGCUGUCAGCGCUCUGCAGCAAGGGACGGGUGGAGCAGCAGGUUCAUGUCAGGAGAACCCUGGACAAGCUGCUGGACAAGUUGCAAGACGGCAGUGGACAGGGACGCAUGCUGCAGGAGGUCCUGUCUUACUCAGUAGCCUGUGUGAGUGUGUCGGCCUUCAGCUGGGGGCUGAUCCAUACUGCCAAGGCCGAGGAGGUCCUGAAUGCACUGCGCACCCUGACUGAGGAGAGCCAGCAGACUCCAGGCUUCUCAUUGGCUCUCGGGCUGGUGGUUCACGGCCUAUCAGUGUCCGGCCAUGGGAAAGCAGAGAACGUUUACCCUCACCUGCUGGCUGCUUGGAUCAAAAUCCUGCUGGCUGAGGGAUGUCCCACCAUGCAGCGCCUGGCUGCUGCCAAUGGGCUGGUGGCUUUAGUGGGGUCAGAAAGCUGCCUGAUUCAGUACCAGAGUGAAUUGGAGCUUUCCGUCCAGCAGCAAAACAGACUCAACGAGGUCAUUCGUGCUAUAACCCAGGUCAUCACCUUCUCUGGAGCCAUGGGGCUGCAGGCUAACAGUGCCUGUCUGAUUGGCCAUCUGCACCUGGCCCACAUGUCCACCAGCCACAGUCACACCGCAGUUCCUCAGGACUUCAGCUACCUCCCAGAGAGCAGCAUUAUCAGAUCCAUAACUGAGUUCCUCACUGAAGCUGGAAGGAAAGGUCCAGAGUUUUCCCCGCCUGCUUUGGUUCGGGCCGCCCUGACCUCGUUGGCGUCAGUAGGAGCUGGUUUCCAGUUCCCCCCCGUUAACUGGAGCGCUGUCCUGUCCCCACUGAUGAGGCUCAGCUUUGGAGAAGGCGUCCAGCAUCAGUGUGUAGUCCUGGCGGCGUCCCAGGCCCAGUCCUCCCAGAGUGCGUCCCUCUUCCUGGGGUCCUGGCUGUCCCCGCCACUCGUCCACAGCCUCAGUCAUCACACUCGGGCCCACCUCUACCAGAACUUGGGUGUAUGGAUGAAGCAGGUGGCGGAGGACAAGCUGCAGAUGUAUGUGCAGAACCUGGGCCUGCAGCAAUUCCAAAGGCGCUCCCUGUGUGUCUCUCUGCUGCAGGGCAUGGCUCAGGCCAUGGCCCUCCCUAACCCCCCCAGCCACUGCUGGACCACCCUCUGCUCCACCGUCGAGAUGGCCUUCAGCCUCCUGCCCAGCCAUAUCCAGGAUUCUGAGGUAGAUCUGUAUGUGGGUGUGGCCAGGUGUCUGUCUGAGAUGUCCGACACAGAGAUCGACAGGAUCGUUCAGGUGUCAGAGGCUCAAGUGGAAAAAGCCUGCUUUGUCCUGGCAUUCCUCACCUCUCAGGGCAGACUUCCGCUGCUCAGCCUCAAUGAUGUCAUCACCGGUGUGCUCUGCGGUUGGUCGAGCUGCAGACUGGCCUGGAUCCUCUUGCAGGCCUUUUACCAAUGCCGACUGACUGCUGGCACCAGUACAGGGGUCUCCAAGCGCAUGGAGUGGCUGCUGGAGCUGAUGGGACACAUCCGGAACAUCGGCUAUGGAGCAACUUCCAUCAGCUGUGGAGACGCUAAGAAGGCCACUGACUUCCUGUUCCAGCUCUUCGCUGCUGCUGUCAUCUCUUGGGGUGACCACUUCAUGCCCCUCCUCUUUGGCAUCAGGGCCCAAUGGUUCCCAUGGCAACCAGACUCCAAGCCUCCAGUGCUAGAGCACGGUUUGUACGGGUCACUUUCACUCAGUGAGCUCGCUCUGCCGCAGUGCAUGCUGGGAGUGUCGCACAGCCUGCCGCUACUGCUAGGCAAAGAGCCAUGGAGCAGCCAGACACACAAGUUUAUCGACUGGCUCCUCAGCAUAACAGAAGGUCCUGAAGAGAAUCUGUCAGCCGUCACCAUCAGCACAGCCAGAGGUUGACUCGUUGGUAUUAGACUGCCUUGGACUGGAACAAGUAGCAGUGUAACACACACCCAGCUCAUAUACUGGCUUCAGGAGAGCAAGACCAGACUCUCAGCUGCUCUUCUGGGUUUGAAGUCCUCCACCGAGUUCAAGAAGAAAGCCGUGUGGACCAGAGCUUACGGCUGGUAGCUCACAGGAUCCAUGGUACAAAUGUUACCAUGGUAAAUUUUGUACACAACAUUUGUCCUACUUGGUGAAAGAAACUUGAGUGGAAACUACUGUUGUUGCUCCUUGUUCAGUCAUGAGUUCAGUCAGAAAGUUGUCUUCAUUAAACUGCUGCAAAAAAUCUGGCAUUUCUUUUUUCCUUUUGUGCAAUCUGAAAUGUUCGUUUGAUGAAUCAGACGGUUUGAAAACAGAGCCAUCCCGUUC